UCCGGUUGAUCCUGCCGGACCCCACUGCUAUCGGGGUGGGACUAAGACAUGCAGAAGUGCGCCUCCAAGCCACGGUGGAGGCGCGGCGCACAGCUCAGUAACACGUGGCUAACCUACCCUUGGGACAGGGACAACCCCGGGAAACUGGGGCUAAUCCCCGAUAGGUGAGGACUCCUGGAAUGGGUCCUCGCUGAAAGGGCGUCUAGACCAUGCUUCUAGACGCUGCCCAAGGAUGGGGCCGCGGCCGAUCAGGUUGUUGGUGAGGUAACGGCUCACCAAGCCUAAGACCGGUACGGGCCGUGAGAGCGGGAGCCCGGAGAUGGACACUGAGACAAGGGUCCAGGCCCUACGGGGCGCAGCAGUCGCGAAACCUCCGCAAUACGCGAAAGCGUGACGGGGCCACCCCGAGUGCCGUCCGCUGAGGACGGCUUUUCCCCAGUGUAGACAGCUGGGGGAAUAAGGGGAGGGCAAGUCGGGUGUCAGCCGCCGCGGUAAUACCCGCUCCCCGAGUGGUGGGGACGCUUAUUGGGCCUAAAGCAUCCGUAGCCGGCUGGACAAGUCCCCUGUUAAAUCCAGCGAUUUAAUCGCUGGACUGCGGGGGAUACUGUCCAGCUAGGGGGCGGGAGAGGCCGGCGGUAUUCCCGGGGUAGGGGUGAAAUCUUAUAAUCCCGGGAGGACCACCAGUGGCGAAGGCUGCCGGCUGGAACGCGCCCGACGGUGAGGGAUGAAAGCUGGGGGAGCGAACCGGAUUAGAUACCCGGGUAGUCCCAGCUGUAAACGAUGCGGGCUAGGUGUUGGCACGGCUACAAGCCGUGUCAGUGCCGCAGGGAAGCCGUUAAGCCCGCCGCCUGGGGAGUACGGCCGCAAGGCUGAAACUUAAAGGAAUUGGCGGGGGAGCACCACAAGGGGUGAUUCUUGCGGUUUAAUUGGAGUCAACGCCGGG
rnacentral:rRNA from 1 species